AUUGAACGCUGGCGGCGUGCUUAACACAUGCAAGUCGAUCGGUAACAGGUGUAGCAAUACAUGCUGACGAGAGGCGGACGGGUGAGUAAUGCUUGGGAAUCUGCCUAUUAGUGGGGGACAACCCGGGGAAACUCGGGCUAAUACCGCAUACGCUCUACGGAGGAAAGCCGGGGACCGCAAGGCCUGGCGCUAAUAGAUGAGCCCAAGUCGGAUUAGCUAGUUGGUAGGGAACGGCCUACCAAGGCGACAAUCCGUAGCUGGUCUGAGAGGACGACCAGCCACACCGGAACUGAGACACGGUCCGGACUCCUACGGGAGGCAGCAGUGGGGAAUAUUGGACAAUGGGGGCAACCCUGAUCCAGCGACGCCGCGUGGGUGAAGAAGGCCUGCGGGUUGUAAAGCCCUUUCGGUGGGGAAGAAAAGUCUCGACCUAAUACGUCGGGACCUUGACGUAACCCACUAAAGAAGCACCGGCUAACUCUGUGCCAGCCGCCGCGGU
rnacentral:rRNA from 1 species